rnacentral:rRNA from 1 species
CGUGAGGAACCUACCUUCAAGUGGGGAAUAACUGCCAGAAAUGGCAGCUAAUACCGCAUGUGGCUGUCCCUUGGCAUCCUGGGACAACUAAAGAUUUAUCGCUUGGAGACGGCCUCGCGGCCUAUUAGCUAGUUGGUGGGGUAAUGGCCUACCAAGGCGAUGAUGGGUAGCUGGUCUGAGAGGACGAUCAGCCACACUGGGACUGAGACACGGCCCAG